CCCUAGCCCCGAUUACAGUGAAAAGCCCGGAGCGAAAAAAGUAAAAGUUUCCUGUUCUAGAAAAGCGACCAACGGAAGCUCUUUCUAGAACUUUAGAAACUUUACUUUUUUGCGAGGACUUGCAACGGAAAGCGGGAAUUUGC
rnacentral:snRNA from 1 species